GCAUUCAUUGACUGCAAAAGGAGUAGAGUAGAAUUCCCAGUAACAAAAAACAACAUCUUCACUAACAUCGUCGAUAUCUACCUACUGUUGAACUUGUAGGUAAAAUAUUAUUCCUAAGAGCUUAUAACAUCUCCUUGUUUUAACUGAUUGUUUAGUUGUAGUUAGGUAAAAUAUGUUAAUUUUGUGAUUAUUCUGAUUGUUGUUUUGGUGUAGUGGGACAGCUAGAAGCACAUUGAUGAGCUAAGUUGAAUAAGCAACAGGAAAUUUUCAGAGGUAAAAUAAUUUCAAUGUCGUAUAAACCCUUUACAUCAACCUUAGCGAGGGUUCACACUAGUGGAAUCAGUUCUUCAGAUCAAGAAGCUGUACCACCCGUGGACAAAGGAGAUUCAGUUGAUUCGGAAUUGGCAGAAAGUAAAUCAUCAGCAAUAGACGAAAUCAUCGAAACCAUUUUUAAUAGGCGAGUUGCCAAAAAAUACAAUUACAAGUUAAGCCGGGAUGUAGAAAAGGAGGCAGUUAGUUUGUUACCACAACAUACCGUGAGAAAAAGAGGUUCAAUAACAACUGCAAAAGGAGACAUAGUAUUUUCCCAAAAAGUUUGUGGGCCGGUAGAUAUAACUCUACAAUUUUUAGCGAGCAGUUUAAGCGUUGGCAUUGUCGCGCAUCUCCCCCACUCCUCGUCGUCAGUGCCUCCCCCAAUCGGUAGACCUUCUGCUCCGCUCAGCUCAGAACCUGUGCUACCUCCCCCAAUCGGUAUACUUUCUGCCCCGCUCAGGUCAGAACCUGUGCUACCUCACCCAAUUUGUAGGCCUUCUGCCUCGUUCCCCCCCACCAUCUACUGUGCCUGUUCCUGCCCCAAUAUGUAGACCUUCUGACUCGUUCCCCCCACAGUCUACUGCUCCUGUAACUGCCCCAAUCUGUAGACCUUCUGGCUCGUUCUUCCCACAGUCUACUGCGCCUGUUCCUGACCAAAUCUGUAAACCUUCGACCUCGUUCCCCACACAGUCUACUGCGUAUUUUCCGCCACCAAUCUCCACACCAGCUUCUUUAUAUGCUGACGAUGAAAAUUGGGAUGAUGAAUGUCAUCAUCCCUCAUAUUUAGAACAGAUAAAAUACAUCGCAUUAUCCAAGCCAAUUAUCAGGACGCCCCCACCAAAAUUAUCUAAAACGGAGAAAAAAAUAUUUAGGCAGGUGGAGAGAAUUCGACACCAACACUUGCCAGAAUUAAACAAGUUGCAGUAAGCAACUUGUUUAAGUUUAAGCACCUCUUCUCCUGCCCUUCAUUAUUCUUCUAUGCCAAUUCUCCCCCACUCUUCCAAAAAGUAAUUUGCAUUUAUAUGUGUUCUGUAUAUUUCUGGUAUCUUUUCUAUGCUAAGUUCUAUGCCAAUUUCUCCCCACACUCUUCAAAAAUUAUCUGUCAUAUGUCCUGCAUAACUCCAGCGGUGUCGAUCGCUUGUUUUCGCUGAUGUGGUGGCUUUUGAUUUUGCCCUGUAGAGUUUUAUAUCGAGGUCCUUCAAAUCCUAGAAGAUAUGGCAAAACCAAGUAUGCCUGCGAGAAAGAAAAAAUAGAUUCUCCCAAGUAGAGUUCUCCCAAGUAUUUGACGGCCUAUUGGCGAAAAAAGGAGUUCCUCCAAAGGAAAAUGAUGAGGAGAAUAGUCUAAGUAAUCUAUUAAAUGAGAGCCAGCCUACCAAUCCACCACAUAGUGAAAUUCAACUCUGGGCGUCAUCGGAAUCAACUGAGCCAUCCACAAGCGGAAAGAAUCCAAAUAAUGAAGUAUCAAUCACAAACCACUUUCAGCCCCAGCAGCCAACAAGACCGAAAAGCAGAGAACAUCAUCCUGGGAGUAAUAAAAAACAGGACACCAUUGCCAAUUUGGUAGUAAAAAUCAAAACAGACGAAGAUCUAGAUUUUGCCAUUUCAAAAGCAUUGGACAGAAGGAAGAAUGCUCAACACAUUGUAGAUGAUUUAAGUAGUACAAUAAAGGAAUCGCAAACGUUGAACCAAAACUAUAAGAAGAAUCAACAGCAGACACUGGAAAUCGAAGCAGAGUUAAAAAUUGCUGAGCAGAACGUGCAAGCUUUAAAAUUACAGAGAAAAAAGUUGGUAAAUGCCAAAGCAAGUAUGCUUCCGAAAAUUAAGCGAAUGAGGAAAUUACUGCUACAGGACACCCACCCCUAUAACUGAAAAAGCUUCUUUUUUAUACCGUAAUGUUUGAAUAAAUUAAUUUUUAUACCUUAAUGUUUGAAUAAAUUAAUUUUUGUAUGA
rnacentral:misc_RNA from 1 species